AAUACGUAGGGUGCGAGCGUUGUCCGGAAUUAUUGGGCGUAAAGAGCUCGUAGGCGGUCUGUCGCGUCGGUUGUGAAAGCCCGGGGCUUAACUCCGGGUCUGCAGUCGAUACGGGCAGGCUGGAGUUCGGCAGGGGAGACUGGAAUUCCUGGUGUAGCGGUGAAAUGCGCAGAUAUCAGGAGGAACACCGGUGGCGAAGGCGGGUCUCUGGGCCGAUACUGACGCUGAGGAGCGAAAGCGUGGGGAGCGAACAGG
rnacentral:rRNA from 1 species